ensembl:lncRNA
GCCCCGCCCCCACGUGGCCGGGGGUCGCGCCCCUCGGAGGCCGGCGGUCUGCGCCUCGCUGGGCUGCGCCCACGUGGGUCCCGGGCGGCGGACCCCACACCCGGACAGAGCCCGCGGCCUCCUGCCCCUCCCGGGCCGGGGGAGACCUCCCUCUCGCCGUCCGCGAUGCUACCACGUGUCCAUCUUUGAAAAAAACGAGCGCCUAUCUGAACCCCCCCAGGAGCAGAGGCUGCAUUUGAGUGUGUAACGCGCAGCUCCAAGGCAGAUGCCUGAUGACCAGGCACUACGAUUUGUGACAAUUGGAACAGUCUUCUAAUGGGUCCUCGGUAUUCAGAGAUUCAAGCCCAGUGCACUUCAACCGCCAAACUUUUAAGUAAACUGUCAGGCCAAGGGUCCCUCCAGCUAUGUUUUUGGAAUCGACUUUCAGAACCUGAUUACCCAAUUCACCAUUUACCUGCUGGAAGAUGACCCUCUCAGCCUACACUCCACAGGCUCUGCUUUUGGCAAAGAUGCCAGUUACUAUCAUGUGGAGACCACGAGGAAGUUUCAGAAAAGUGUUUUCAAAUACAACCUAGAGGAAGCGGCUUAUGAGAUUGCUGUAUCAUUGCUGCUGGAGAAAAAAAAUCGUGUUAAAUGUGCUUCUUGGCUCCUCCAAAGACAUCAUGAGUCUUCAGUCUCAUCCACGCAGCAUCCUUCCUUGAGGACCCUGGUCAGCGUCCUCCCUAACUGUGCUGCCAGCCCCCACUCACCCAGACCUCACUCCAGCCCCCGACUGGCCAGCCCACCCCUCAGCUGGUGCUGAGGGCAGAGAACCAGUGUCACCUCUCUGACUGCUGUUCCCCUGGCCUCGAAUUUGGCUCGCAUCUUUUUUUUUUAAUAAAAAAGCAGGUUUUGGGGGAGUUUUUUAGUCUGUCUUGGGCUACAUCAGGUCUUUCUUUAAAAAAACAAAACCUUUAUUUAUGACUGCGCUGGGUCUUCAUUGCUGUGUGCGGUCUUUCUCUACUUGAGGUGAGCAGGGGCUGCUCUUUGCUGCGGUGCACAGGUCUCUCUUUGCGGUGGCUUCUUUUGUUGAGGAGCACAGGCUCUAGGCGCUCAGGCUCAAUAGUUGUGGCCCACAAGCUUAGUUGCCCCACAGCACAUGGAAUCUUCCCGAACCAUGGAUUGAACCUGCAUCUCCUGCAUUGCAGGAGGAUUCUUUACAGCUGCACCGCUGGGGAUGCCCUCCUUGUGUUUCUACGCUCUGUGAAACCAUCUUUCUCCUUCAAGACCCAUCUUACAGGUGGUAUCUCUGGGCUUCCUCCCAGUCCUCGCUCUGCUGUAUACAUGUGCAUUAGAGCCUCGUUUGACUGUACACAGUGCCUAGGGGAGUAUUCACUGUCCCUGGAACACUGUUGCAAUCCACAUCCCUCCAGUGGGUAGGUGGUUGGUGCCUGACUCUGCAAGAACAAAGGGAUGCCUGCACACAUAUCUGUCUUUCCUUCAGCUAAUCCAUCAGCUGGUGUUUCUAAAGCAUCUGCUCAUCAUGUGCAAGGCACUUGGACUUGACAAGAGAUUUUUUAAAUCUUUUUGUUUAAUACAACAGAGUUUUUUUGUUUUUGUUUUGAGUGUUGUUAUUUACUAUGAGAAUACCAAAGAUGUAAGAG